AACGUAGGUACCGAGCGUUAUCCGGAUUUACUGGGCGUAAAGCGCGUUCAGGCGGCUCAGCAAGUCGGGCAUGAAAUCUCUCGGCUCAACCGGGAGGGGCUGUCCGAAACUGCUGGGCUUGAGGGCAGUAGAGGGUGGUGGAAUUCCGGGUGUAGUGGUGAAAUGCGUAGAUAUCCGGAGGAACACCAGUGGCGAAAGCGGCCACCUGGACUGUACCUGACGCUGAGGCGCGAAGGCGUGGGGAGCGAACGGG
rnacentral:rRNA from 1 species